CUCCUGCCUCUGCCUCCCAAAGUGCUGGGGUUACAGGUGUGAGCCACUGUACCCAGCCUAAAUGAGUGAGUCUUUAACCUUCCCUCUAGUUGACUUGAGUAGAACUCCAAGGAAUAUCAAAGUCAAUUCUCCUUCUAAUAGAUGGUAAAUGAAGCCCUUUGGAUUUGAAUAAAGAGAAUGGUUCUCUCUCUCUCUCUCUCUUGCCCUUGCUCUCUCUUGCUCUCUCUCUCUCAUCCUCCCAGGAAGAGCCAGAUUAGACUUAUUGGGAGGCUGUGCCUUGGUGAUUCAUACAACUUUCUAGGAUCUUUUGAUUAACAGAGAAAAAGUCAUAAGAUCAGCAAGAGGAGAAACUGUAGAUUUGCCUCAACUCAACAUGUUAACUAAUCACCUGACAUCUGCAUAAGACCACCUCUUGGCACCUGGCUACACAAGCUGAAAUGGUUGUCUUUGGAAAAAGAAUAGACAUUCAUGGCAGACCAAAGACCACUCUCUGAAGGUGUUGUAUGAGAAAUCCACAUAGGAGCAAUCCAAGAAAACCAUGCAGGUAAAUGCUAGUCUGGAAAGACAGAAGGAAAACAUGCCAAGUGGAGCCCACCGGAAGGACAGCAGUCAGAGCUCAAGAGCCCAGCUUUAAAAGGCAUGUGUUCACUGAUGUGCUUUAA